rnacentral:rRNA from 1 species
GCAUCACGGAUUGCUUGCAAUCUGGUGGCGACCGGCGCACGGGUGCGUAACGCGUAUACAACCUACCUUUUGGAGGGGAAUAGCCCAGAGAAAUUUGGAUUAAUACCCCAUAGUAUAUAGGAAUCUCCUGAUUUUAUAUUAAACAUUUAUGGCCAUUAGAUGGGUAUGCGUCCUAUUAGCUAGUUGGUGUGGUAACGGCACACCAAGGCUACGAUAGGUAGGGGUCCUGAGAGGAGAUCCCCACACUGGUACUGAGACACGGACCAGACUCCUACGGGAGGCAGCAGUGAGGAAUAUUGGACAAUGGGCGAGAGCCUGAUCCAGCCAUGCCGCGUGCAGGAAGACUCGCCCUAGUGGGUUGUAAACUGUCUUUUACAGAGGAAGAACCCACCCCACGUGUGGGGGUUUGACGGUACUCUGCGAAUAAGGAUCGGCUAACUCCGUG